GCCGGAAUAGCUUAGUUGGGAGAGCGUUAGACUAAGUAUCUAAAGGCCCCUGGUUUUAUCCCGGGUUCCGGCA